CCUACGGGAGGCAGCAGUGAGGAAUAUUGGUCAAUGGACGAGAGUCUGAACCAGCCAAGUAGCGUGAAGGAUGACUGCCCUAUGGGUUGUAAACUUCUUUUAUAUGGGAAUAAAACGUUCCACGUGUGGGAUUUUGUAUGUACCAUAUGAAUAAGGAUCGGCUAACUCCGUGCCAGCAGCCGCGGUAAUACGGAGGAUGCGAGCGUUAUCCGGAUUUAUUGGGUUUAAAGGGAGCGUAGGUGGAUUGUUAAGUCAGUUGUGAAAGUUUGCGGCUCAACCGUAAAAUUGCAGUUGAAACUGGCAGUCUUGAGUACAGUAGAGGUGGGCGGAAUUCGUGGUGUAGCGGUGAAAUGCUUAGAUAUCACGAAGAACUCCGAUUGCGAAGGCAGUUCACUGGACUGCAACUGACACUGAGGCUCGAAAGUGUGGGUAUCAAACAGGAUUAGAUACCCCUGUAGUC
rnacentral:rRNA from 1 species